ensembl:lncRNA
GAUGUUCUUCCGCCUGCCGUUCCAUCCGACCCUGUGAAGAACAAAUAAAAGAGAACACGUGUCCGGCCGCCAUCCCCUAUUCACGUGCUUUUGUGUAUUGGAGAACCUGCUCAGCAAGCUGCAGUCUGCAACUUCUGCGGGAGGUAUGUAAGUUUAAUUCAAAUCCAGUACUGUUGCAUUUCAGCAAAAGCACAAGGGUGAAAGUCUUUGGUCCCCUUCCACUCCUGAGCAACAACAGCAGUGGCAUCUUCCCCUUCUUUCCCCUAAGGCUGUAGCUGCUCCAAACAAAGAUUGAGGCCACAGAGCGCAACACCCUCCUCACACACUCCCCAGGAUUGGACCCCCCAACUAGGCUCAGAUGGGAAAUCUAAGGAAAUCAAACAACCAUGGUUAAGGUGCUCCUCGAGUUCCUGUAGUUCGGCCUGAGUUUGCGCCUGCAGUAACUCGACACUAGCUUCCCCAGGGUCCCCAUGUCGAUUUGCCCGUAGCAAUAAUAGAGCCUCUCUCUGAUUCUGCUCAACAGUCUCAAGCUUUCGGAGCAGAAUUUUCAAUGUUGCUGUUAAAAAAAUAUGUUGAGAUGAGAGGAGUGUAUUUAGUAGAAGUUGGUGUCAUUUGCAUACAGUGCAAUACAGUUCAAUACAUGUAUUACCGUUGAUAUUCUUUGCCCAGAUUGGUAUGGCUUCUUUCUCUCUUCGGUCACCUAAGUAAUGUGUAUAAAGUAGAGCUGUCAAGCGAUUAAAAUAUUUAAUCGUGAUUAAUCGCAUUAAUGUCAUAGUUAACUCUAAUUAAUCGCGAUUAAUCGCAAAUUAUUUUUCUAUGCUAAAUAUCCCUUGAUUUUUUUUGUCCCAUAAUUCUUCUCAUUUUAAUUCUCUUAUCAACAUGGUGAAGUGCAUCGGCUUGCCUUGUGCAAAUGAUUUUUUAUUGAUAACAACAUUGGCAUAUACACUGAUCAAAACAGGACAAUACAAAAAAAGAGCCUAUAGUGCAAUUAAACGACUGCUUUGAACAAAUGUAAUUUGAACAUAGCAGUCAGGCUACUGCUUCUUUGUUUUGAGCCAAAGAAAUGUUGUUUUUUUUUUUUUUUUUUUUAAAUAAAAUAAUUGCGUUAAUCGCGCGAUAAAAAAUUUAACGCCGUUAAAUUUGGUUUGCGUUAACGCCGUUAAUAACGCGUUUAACUGACAGCUCUAGUAUAAAGCAUAAUGUGUAGGGUUAGUAUAGACAGAUGACUGUCAUAACCUGUUGAUAAGAUUUACUAGUUUGGUUUUAACCACCCUCUCCACCCGCCACUUUACCGUCCCCAGUAG